ACAGGAUGUCAACAUGCCUUACUGAAGGCAACACCCUUCUCUUAAUGCGGUUACUUUCCCGCCAGUGCUUCUCAAGACCCAAAAAAAUUUCUACUCUUGCAAAAUCCACAAAGCUCAACCAGCAAUGCUGCAUCUCUCUUCUUCGACACUGCAAAACAAUGAACCAGCUUAAACAAAUCCAGGCCCAGAUUUUCCGGGGCGGCCUCCAUCAAAGCACAGACACUCUUAAGAAGCUCAUGGUCUUUUGUGCAGACCCAUCUAAUGGAAACUUGGUUCAUGCUGAAAGAAUCUUCAAUUAUAUUCAAAACCCAGGUUUAUUUUUUUAUAAUAUUAUGAUUAAAGCCUUUGCAAAGAAGGGUUUCUUUAGAAAAUGUUUAAUGUUGUUCAAUAAAUUGAGGGAGGAUGGUCUGUGGCCUGAUAAUUUUACUUACCCUUUUGUUUUGAAGGCGAUUGGGUGCUUAGGAAAUGUUUUAGAAGCUGAAAAACUUCAUGGAUUUGUGAUGAAAACCGGGCUUGAAUCUGAUACUUAUGUGUGUAACUCACUCAUUGAUAUGUAUGCUGAAUUGGGUCAAGUGGAUGUUAUGAGGAAGUUGUUUGAUGAAAUGCCUGAGAGAGAUGUGGUUUCUUGGAAUGUGUUGAUUUCCGGGUAUGUUAAGCGUAGAAGAUUUGAGGAUGCUAUUGAUGUUUUUUGUUGUAUGAGAGAAGAGAGUUAUUUGAGGCCUAAUGAGCCUACGGUGGUGAGCACUCUUUCAGCUUGUGCGGCAUUGAAAUGCUUGGAACUCGGCAAGGAAAUUCAUUGUUAUGUAAGGGAUAGACUUGAACUCACUUCUAUUAUUGGCAGUGCAUUAUUGGACAUGUACUGUAAGUGUGGUUGUUUGAGUGUAGCCCGAAAAAUAUUUGACGAGAUGCCUCAUAAAAAUGUUAUUUGUUGGACUAGUAUGGUGUCAGGUUAUGUAAACUACGGUGAGCUGGAUAAGGCUAGAGAGUUGUUUGAGAGGAGUCCAGUUAGGGACGUUGUUCUUUGGACGGCGAUGAUUAAUGGGUAUGUGCAGUUUAAUCAUUUUGACGAGGCUGUGGCCCUGUUUCAAGAAAUGCAAAUCCAAAGGGUUAAGCCAGAUAAGUUUGUACUGGUUGCUCUUCUCACAGGUUGUGCUCAAAUGGGAGCUCUUGAGCAGGGGACUUGGAUUCAUGGAUACAUAGACGAGAAAGGAAUUCCAGUUGAUGCAGUUGUUGGAACUUCUCUUAUAGAAAUGUAUUCCAAAUGUGGGUGCAUUGAAAAAGCUUUGAGGAUUUUCUGUGGGUUGAGAGAAAAAGAUACAGCUACAUGGACUUCAAUGAUAUGUGGGCUUGCUAUGAAUGGGAAAACAAGCAAGGCACUUGAAUUGUUCUCAAAAAUGAAACAAGUCGAGGCCAUACCUGAUGAAGUUACCUUCAUUGGUGUUUUAAGUGCAUGCAGCCAUGGAGGACUGGUCAAAGAAGGCCGUGAGUUCUUUAAUUCCAUGACAAGUAUUUAUAAUAUUGAGCCUAAGUUAGAGCACUACGGGUGUCUGAUUGACUUACUUGGUCGAGCUGGACAAUUGGAUGAAGCAGAAGAGUUGAUAAAAAAAAUAGUGAACGCAAAUAAUGAGAUCAUAGUUCCGCUUUAUGGUUCUUUGCUCAGUGCUUGCAGAAUCUAUAAAAAUGUUCAAAUGGGUGAGCGGGUGGCUGAACAGCUUGUGAAAAUUGAGUCAAGGGACUCUAGUGUUCACACGCUUCUCGCAAAUAUCUAUGCCUCUGCUGGUAGAUGGGUGGAUGUAAACAGGGUGAGACGUGAAAUGAAAGAUCUUGGAGUAAAAAAGGUACCUGGUUGUAGCUCAAUUGAGGUUGAUGGCAUAGUCCAUGAGUUUAUUGUUGGGAAUCCAUCUUGUUCAGAGAUGAGAGAAAUAUACUCCAUGUUGGAUAGGAUGGUGAAACCAUUAUUCAAUUCAGAAGAGAAUGAAAUGGAAAGAGGAGAAACAGGUGCGAUGAACAGUUGCUGAAUUAAGAUUUGAACGAAAUGGUUAAACCAUUUCUGAUUUUUUCUUUUUCUUUUUAAUUUAUUUCUUUAUAUUUAUUUCUUUUUUUAUUGUUUCUUGAAUCAUUAGUGCAUGGGGAAUAAGGGCUUGAAGCAUGGAAGGCAAACCAUUAUGAACUGGCUAUUUGAAGAUGAAUAUGCUUUUAAAGUUGUUGCUACAAAUCUUGCUCAAGAUUAUUGGAGAAAACGAGGUCGUUUAUAGCUCUUGGUACAUUCUAUAUCCGUCUUGUGAAGUGUGGAAUAUGUGGUUUAUGAAUCAAUAUAUUAUGGCCUGCAACUCUCAUGGGAUUCUUCUUGGACCUUGCUUGGCUACUUUGAUUCUGAUUGGGCUGGCUAUCUCGACACUUGACAGUUGUUGAACUGGAUUUGUUGUUUAUCUUGGCUGUAAUUUGAUUUCAUGGUGCUCUCAAAUGCAAACUACUGUUGCCCAUUCUAGUGCUGAGGCCAAGUACCAUGCUCUUGCCUACGUUGUUGCGGAACUCUUUUGGAUGCUUAAACUUUUCAGACAACUCCAAAUCAGUCUUUCUUCUCCUCCCAGACUUUUAUGCGACAAAAACAAUGCUAUUUUCAUUGCUUCCAACUCGAUGUCCAAAUCUCGCUCCAAAAAUAUUGAUAUUGACUAUCAUUUUAUUCGGGAACCUGUUGCUCAAAGGGUUAUUGGUCUCAGCUUUGUCACCUCACACCUCCAGCUGGUUAAUGUUUUCACAAAAGGGAUGGCCAGAUUACAGUUUUUAUUGGAUCGUGGCAAGUUGUGCCUUUUCCACCACGCCAACUUUGAGGGGGAUAUUAGAGGAAAAUCAGAUUCUUCUGAUAAUAACCAAGAUAUCAGUGAUUCUCCAUGAUUGUAGCUAUUUUGUUUAUCUCUGUAUUUUCUGUCUAUAAAUGAAUAUUUCCUCACACGGCACAUUUCCUUUACACAGAACCUAGGGAGUUCCUUUUCCAUUUUGCUAUUGUAAAUACAAGCUUUGCGAGAUUUUCCCGGGCGUUGACAUUAUACCAUCCUUUCUUACAGCUUUUUGGAGUACCAAACAUUGUAAUCAAUGAUACACUUGAUGGUUGUGGUAAAUAUAAACUAUUGAUAGCUGCAUUGUUCUGCCGUUGUCAAGCAUGUGCUGAGGGAGGAUUGUCUUGGCCAGAAUUAUUUCAUCUCCACAGUUUCUUCGUUUUUAUUCAUGCCCAGUUAUUUGUUCUUGUGGGUAGCUUGCCUAGUCUUGUCAUGAGAAAAAGCUCUUGAUUGCAGCGGUUGGAUUUUGCUUUGCAAAGCUGCAUAAACGAUACUUGAAAAGAAGGCGAUGCAUUUGCUUAUUUCCGGCGCGAGCUAUCUCGUUGGAGAUUGGCUUCCGGAACUUUGUGGAAAAAGUAUCAUUCGACUUUUCUAGCAACCUAAACGUGUGGAGACCACCGCUCUCUUUAACUGUCUCACCCUCUUCCACUCCCAAACCAAAUCACAGCCUCUGUCCAGUUCCAGUUUCCGUUGUUGAUAAGGAUUAAAAUCCGCCCAUCGAAGUUUUUUCACUUUCCUUUCUGUUCAUCUUUAACUCAUCAAGAAGCCAAACGUACUAAAAAAA